CGCAGGGGUGUCCGCGCGAAAGCGGGCUGAGAUUAGGAUGGACGAUUCCUUGACCCUUUAACCUGAUACGGAUAAUGCCGUCGUAGGGAGCCU
rnacentral:ncRNA from 1 species